rnacentral:lncRNA from 1 species
AAAUGAAAGACAAAUGUGUUCCCUGGAUACUUCCAGUUGGGGACCAGGUUCUCAGCCCUUGGAAGUGGAGAGGAGGCCCCCACUGAGUAGAGGCCUCCAGGAGGGCACUCAGUCCAGUCUCCCCCACAUCUCCUUCCUUCACAUUCCUGAUCCUGUCCCAGAUUUUUGGGCAAAGUUCUGGAAAGGUCUCUGUGGUCCGGUUCUAGGAUUUCCUCUAGAUCUCAUGACCCAUCAUCUCCCUGGCCUCUCACAUGAUGUCUUCUUCCCCCAGGUGAAAAAGGAGGGAGCUACACUCAGGCUGCAGGCAGUGACAGUGACCAGGGCUCCGAUGUGUCCCUUACCAAGGGUCCUAGAGUGUGAGACAACUGCCUUGUGGGGACUGAGGGACACAAGAUUUGUUCACAUCCCACUUUGUGACUUCAGAUCCCCUGACUCCUAUUUCUGCAGCUGCCUCUGAAAGUGUCUGUGUUCCUAUGAGCAUCCUGAGAGGAGGUGGGGACCCUGGCCCAGCCCUGCCCCCCACGUCCCCUCCUCACCCUGACCUGUGUUCUCUUCCCUGAUCCUCUUUCCAGUUCUUGCAAGUGGGAGCUGGGCUGGGGNGGGGGGGGGGGCACUGGACACCAUCUCCAUCCUUAUCUUAACUUGACUGCCCUGAGUAAUGACUUCCUGUUGAAUUUGCUUUUUCUAAUUGGUGCCAUGAGGAGUUGAGGGGAUAAUAAAUGAGAGAUUUCCUUAGUUUGAAAGAGGAAAUAAAUGGAAGGAUUGAGAAUCUUCCAGAAUCCAC